UACAGAGGUCCCGAGCGUUGUUCGGAUUUAUUGGGCGUAAAGGGUGCGUAGGCGGCGCGGUAAGUCGGGUGUGAAAUCUCGGGGCUUAACUCCGAAACUGCAUUCGAUACUGCCGUGCUUGAGGACUGGAGAGGAGACUGGAAUUUACGGUGUAGCGGUGAAAUGCGUAGAUAUCAAGAGGAACACCUGAGGUGAAGACGGGUUGCUGGGCCGACACUGACGCUGAAGCGCGAAAGCCAGGGGAGCAAACGGG
rnacentral:rRNA from 1 species